UACAGAGGGUGCAAGCGUUGUUCGGAAUUAUUGGGCGUAAAGCGCGUGUAGGCGGCUUUGCAAGUCGGGUGUGAAAGCCCUCAGCUCAACUGAGGAAGUGCGCCCGAAACUGCAGAGCUUGAGUGCCGGAGAGGGUGGCGGAAUUCCCCAAGUAGAGGUGAAAUUCGUAGAUAUGGGGAGGAACACCGGUGGCGAAGGCGGCCACCUGGACGAUAACUGACGCUGAGACGCGAAAGCGUGGGGAGCAAACAGG
rnacentral:rRNA from 1 species